CACGUUGAUGAUCCAACCUCAGCG
rnacentral:miRNA from 1 species